UACGUAGGGGUGCAAGCGUUGUCCGGAAUUAUUGGGCGUAAAGAGCUCGUAGGCGGUCUGUCGCGUCGGCUGUGAAAUCCCCGAGGCUCAACCUCGGGUCUGCAGUCGAUACGGGCAAACUAGAGUAUUGCAGGGGAGACUGGAAUUCCUGGUGUAGCGGUGAAAUGCGCAGAUAUCAGGAGGAACACCGGUGGCGAAGGCGGGUCUCUGGGCAAUAACUGACGCUGAGGAGCGAAAGCGUGGGGGAGCGAACAGG
rnacentral:rRNA from 1 species